UACGGGGGGGGCGAGCGUUGUUCGGAAUCACUGGGCGUAAAGGGCGCGUAGGCGGCCCGCACAAGUCUGCGGUGAAAACCUCCGGCUUAACCGGGGGCCGGCCGUGGAAACUGUCGGGCUGGAGGCUGGGAGAGGGCAGCGGAAUUCCCGGUGUAGCGGUGAAAUGCGUAGAGAUCGGGAGGAACACCGGCGGCGAAGGCGGCUGCCUGGACCAGUCCUGACGCUGAGGCGCGAAAGCUAGGGGAGUAAACAGG
rnacentral:rRNA from 1 species